UUGACUUGUAAGAUGGUGAUCCUCAGCUCC
rnacentral:piRNA from 1 species